rnacentral:rRNA from 1 species
UACGGAGGGAGCUAGCGUUGUUCGGAAUUACUGGGCGUAAAGCGCACGUAGGCGGCUUUCUAAGUCGGGGGUGAAAUCCUGGAGCUCAACUCCAGAACUGCCUUCGAUACUGGCGACCUUGAGUCCGGGAGAGGUGAGUGGAACUCCGAGUGUAGAGGUGAAAUUCGUAGAUAUUCGGAAGAACACCAGUGGCGAAGGCGGCUCACUGGCCCGGUACUGACGCUGAGGUGCGAAAGCGUGGGGAGCAAACAGG